UCUGUCCUUGGCUGAGUGUGGCAGUUCCUCAUUGGCUGGGCUAUUGGCAAGGGAGGAGAAAAUCUCUACUUUCCUCCUCCCGGGGUAGUAAAAUGGGAGUCUGUCUUCCCAUUGCCGUCUGCAACUGAAGAGGACUGGUCCUAGGUGGGUUCGCCGGGAUCUGGGCACACUUGAUCCGCGUGGGGAGAGCCAGCCCACCAGCCCACUGCAUGCUCCCUGCUAUUCUGCUGCUCUUCAGACUCAGUCUGUCCAGCCCCACGAGCCCCCCCACCAUGUGACCCUAGAGGCUCUGGAACAUGCGCCAGUCCGACAGGUAUAAGAGUGCUACAGAAGAACUAUAAGCAUUUUAGAAGAACUAAUAGCAUUUGAGUCCGACUUUUUUCACUUAGCAUGAUGCAUUUGAGAUUCAUCCGUGGUCUUUGCCUCAGCCAACGGAUGUCUUGCAGCCCCAAUAUAACUCUGGCGAAACCUGCACUACGGUCAGCAUGGAGCAAAAACAGCCUCUCAGCAACACAAGGAGGGUUGCCUGGGGUUCAUAUCCGAGAGGGAGACGUUAGUGUGCUCAUUCACCAGCAAGACCAAAGGCUGGCAGACUGUGGACCUCAGGCUUUUAUAACGUUGCUUUUAUAAAUAAAUAACUCCAGAAAGAGUUGACUUUC